rnacentral:rRNA from 1 species
GCAAGUCGAGCGCGUUUCGAAGGUUCUUGCACCUUCAAUGAAACGAGCGGCGGACGGGUGAGUAACACGUAGGUAACCUACCUUUAUGACUGGGAUAACCACGGGAAACCGGGGCUAAUACCGGAUAAGAUUUAGCUUCGCAUGAAGCAGAAGUAAAAGGCAGUGGAGGAUGUCACAUAAAGAGGGACCUGCGGCGCAUUAGCUAGUUGGAGAGGCAAGAGCUCCCCAAGGCGACGAUGCGUAGCCGACCUGAGAGGGUGAUC